rnacentral:rRNA from 1 species
GAUGAACGUUGGCGGUGCGCUUUAUGCAUGCAAGUCGAGCGAGAAGCAGUUGUUCCGUAAGGUUCAAUUGUGGACAGCGGCGAACGGGUGCGUAACACGUGAGAAACCUGCCCCCCAGACCGGGAUAGCCCAGGGAAACUUGGAUUAAUACCGGAUACUCUCUUUGGACCGCAUGGUCCGUUGAGGAAAGGUCCGCUGCUGGGGGAUGGUCUCGCGGCCUAUCAGGUAGUUGGUGAGGUAACGGCUCACCAAGCCGAAGACGGGUAGCUGGUCUGAGAGGACGAUCAGCCACACUGGAACUGAGACACGGUCCAG